rnacentral:tRNA from 1 species
GGUGAGUUGGUGAAGUGGUAACACACUCUGUCCGGACACGGGAACCCCUGGUUCAAUCCCAGGACUUGUCU